rnacentral:rRNA from 1 species
CGUAUCACCCAAGACAACUUUACGGAGUUGACGAUUGACGGAGCGAAGCGACGUCAAAGCGUUCAUUAAAGUCGAGUUGGCUUAGGGAUACGUUCGUUGGGUAGGGGAGCGUUCUGUAAGCCUGUGAAGGUGUGUCGUGAGGCAUGCUGGAGGUAUCAGAAGUGCGAAUGCUGACAUAAGUAACGAUAAAGCGGGUGAAAAGCCCGCUCGCCGGAAGACCAAGGGUUCCUGUCCAACGUUAAUCGGGGCAGGGUGAGUCGACCCCUAAGGCGAGGCCGAAAGGCGUAGUCGAUGGGAAACGGGUUAAUAUUCCCGUACUUGGUGUUACUGCGAAGGGGGGACGGAGAAGGCUAUGUUGGCCGGGCGACGGUUGUCCCGGUUUAAGCGUGUAGGUGUGUGUUCCAGGUAAAUCCGGUUCACUUUAACACUGAGGCGUGACGACGAGGCA